rnacentral:rRNA from 1 species
AACGUAGGUACCGAGCGUUAUCCGGAUUUACUGGGCGUAAAGCGUGUUCAGGCGGCCUGGCAAGUCGGGCAUGAAAUCUCUCGGCUCAACCUGGAGACGCCACCCGAUACUGCCAUGGCUAGAGUCCGGUAGGGGACCACGGAAUUCCUGGUGUAGCGGUGAAAUGCGCAGAUAUCAGGAGGAACACCGGUGGCGAAGGCGGUGGUCUGGGCCGGAACUGACGCUGAGGAGCGAAAGCGUGGGGAGCGAACAGG